GUGGGGGAUAUUGCACAAUGGGCGCAAGCCUGAUGCAGCGACGCCGCGUGGAGGAAGAAGGUUUUCGGAUUGUAAACUCCUGUCUUCAGGGACGAUAAUGACGGUACCUGAGGAGGAAGCCACGGCUAACUACGUGCCAGCAGCCGCGGUAAUACGUAGGUGGCAAGCGUUGUCCGGAAUUACUGGGUGUAAAGGGAGCGUAGGCGGGACAGCAAGUCCAGUGUGAAAUCUAUCGGCUCAACCGAUAGCUGCGCUGGAAACUGUGGUUCUUGAGUGAAGUAGAGGCAGGCGGAAUUCCUAGUGUAGCGGUGAAAUGCGUAGAUAUUAGGAGGAACACCAGUGGCGAAGGCGGCCUGCUGGACUUUUACUGACGCUGAGGCUCGAAAGUGUGGGUAGCAAACAGG
rnacentral:rRNA from 1 species